rnacentral:rRNA from 1 species
GGUGAUGCCCAUGACCCUAAAGGCACCAGAUCCCAUCUGAUCUUGGAAAUGAAGCAGGGCCAGCCCUGGUUAGUCACUGGAUGGGAGACCACUAAUGGAUAUCAGGUGUUGUAGCUU